UUGUGAAGAAUGGUCUAGAGACCCACAGCCCACUGCCAACCAAUUUCGCAUCAAUUUGGGUCUAGAGACUCAAAUUCGAAAGAAUGAAACCUUAGCCGCUUCUUCUCCUCUCUUCUCGCUCGCUCUCUCUCACUCAUCCGCACUUGCAGCGGCAUGAUGUCGCACUUUGGGAAAUCUGGCCCUCCAAACAUCAGAGACACCUACUCCCUCCUUGUCCUAAACAUCACUUUCCGAACCACUGCAGAUGAUCUCUUCCCUCUCUUCGACAAGUACGGCAAGGUCAUCGACGUCUUUAUCCCUAGAGACCAAAGUGAAUUGAAAUGAAAAGGAAUAAAUAUUGCAAUAGGAGACGAGUCUUUCCUCUUUUACUGGAGAUGCGUAAUCAAAUGCUGUUUGAAGUGAGGCAUUUUCAACGGAAAUGUUGCAUAACGUGCUGUUUGAAGUGAGACAUUGACUGGGAUUUUAGAUCAGAAGUGUGAUUUUAUGCUCCAUUUGUUUGGGUCUAAAUUAUUUUUUAGAAAAUAUUUUUUAUAUUUUUCGGUGUUUGAUGCAACUCAAAAUAAUAGUCAACGAAAACCAUUUUUAGUUUGACCGUAAAA